GCCAGUCGCAGCCUGCAGCCUCAGCAACUUGGGAGGCUGAGGCAGGAGGAUUGCUUGAGCCCAGGAGUUUGCAGCAGCCUGGGCAGCAUAGCAAGACCCGGUUUCAA
rnacentral:sRNA from 1 species